AUACUUACCUGGCGCGGGGGAUACCGUGAUCAAGAAGGCGGUGCCUCCAGGACGAGGCCUGUACAUUGCACUCCGUAUGGGCUGACUCCUGCGACUACCCAAAUCGGGGUGGCUCGAGCGCAUAAUUUUUGGUAGUGGGGACAAGCGUUCGCGCUGUCCCUU
rfam:Macrostomum lignano uti_cns_0007566, whole genome shotgun sequence.